ensembl:lncRNA
CCUGGAGGUUUUAUGUAGGUUUUGUGAAAUUUGCCCUAGUUAUGCAAUGCUGGCAAACCCACAGUAAGGGAGAGUCUAUUAUUGGGCUGAUUUAUAAAAUUGUAGGCUGUCCAGACUGUGAUAUUCAUCUGUUUGGCAGGCAAUACUCAUGCAACCCUUAUAGAGAGUCUAUUAUUCUCAAUACCAAAGCAGAUGACUUGUUCUAGCUACAAAUACUGACAGGUUCUGGACGUCUUUUUUAUUAUUAUAUUAUGCUGCUGCACAUGACCUACACAUAAAACUAAAACAUUUUUCUUGUUCUAUAAUAGUAUAAAACACGGCAAAGCUGUUCUUUCUUGGCAAAGCGGCUGACAGCCCCUCAGCAACAGCUCGAGGCAUGCAAAGUAGUCUUGCACUUCCCUUUACCAUAUAUAGCUCAUACCGGCGCGCACAAGAGCAGACGGAAACGUGUCGGAGAAAUUAAAACCUUUCCCUGUAAUCAGAUGAGGACAAAUUAACGUUUAUUGCUUAGUUGACAUCUCCCGACUUAAAGGGAUAUAGCACCAACCAGUUGCGUAGAUUUCGAUGGGCGAAGAAAAGUCUGAGACGCACAGAAACAUCGCACAGCAGUGAAUGAGAAAUCCACAGAUAGUGAACGAGCAUGUCGACGCUGCUGGAUCUGAAGAGCAGUGUGCUGAGGCAGGUGCAGAGGAGCCAGUCCCUGAGGACCAGGAGGGAGCCACCGGCAAGCACCAGCGCUGGAGGGAGUCCCCCGCCGGUCACCCGCCGCUCUGGCACCGUCGUACACAGGGUUGCCAGGGGAAAUGGGGAGUUCUUUGACCACAUGAAUAAAAUCCUCCAGAAACAGGAUAGUCUGCUGUCUGCCGGCCAAACUGAGGAGGAGAGCAGCUGUGCUCCUCCACCCCCGGAGUGCAAAAACCAGGCUUUUAUUCCAGAGAGAUCCACCAGAGAUGAGCUGGAUUUGUUGUAUGAGGAGGCGAUCUACACCGUGGUCAAUUGCGUUGGGGUACCAUCGCCAGAAUAUGUUACCAAUGAAGGGGACAUUUUCAACUACCUGCAAAAGGUGCAACUUUGUUGUUUCCUCAAUAAAUUACAUAGUGCAUGAUUCAAAUGCUCCUGCAUCCCUCCAUAACAACACAAAUAUUACAAUGUGUGUUGUGCCUCUGGUGCUUCUAAUCCACCAAGACCUAAAUAAAUAUCAUGCUCUGAUUGAUU